rnacentral:sRNA from 2 species
GCAGGGAGAAGGAAAAAAUCGAAGCGGGGAUUGUGGAGAUGAUGUGUCGAAAUCGCAGUAGGCAGCUGCACAGUGAUUCUCCUGAAAUAUUCCUCCUGGUCCAACAGAGCCUACGAAACAAAGUCUCCUCGCUGGACGAGGACGCUUGGAUGUACGAAGUCGAGGAUGAAAUUCAUGUCUAGAUCAUUGCCGUGCGUUACUUGUAAUCUGUCCGCGAGCCAUGGGCUUCUGCCUGUGGUAGCUUAAUACCAUAAAAUCCCCUUCCGACGAGCAAAAGAUUACAGACCCCCUUUAAUCCAAAUCCAUCGCCAGCGGCUGCGUCUCAGCUUUCCCUGCGGUCCUCUGCUGUCGAGCUGGUUUUGCUCCAGCACCACCACCUCCAAACAUCAUCCCCAUCAUAUCCAUGAGCGGGUUAGACUGUUUCGGAAUCUUAAUUCCGAAAUACAACUCACCGAUAUGCGCCAACGCACUCUCCAAUCCGUCCACCUCCUUUAUAUGAAUCGCAUACUGUCUGGUCAAUUGCCUGAAUAAAUCUGUCGUGCCGCGCUGGAUAGCCAGCAGCAAGAGGCUUGUGAAAUUUAAAAUGGGCAGGGAAGGGAAGACGCGCACAUCUGCGCUCUGGCUGCUGACUUGCUGGACAUUUAGGACUUUACUGGAUUCUGAGGACAACAGGCGACUGGUGAAGACUGAGAAGGCUUUAUUGGCGUCACGUAGGUUGCCAGUGAGGAGGUAGGGAAAAACUGCGCGGGAAGCGUAGGUGCCUGCCGUGUGGGGUUCGUCGUUCGUGUACCAGUCGUAUUCGAGGUCGGCGAGGAUUUCAGCAGAGGCGGAGGUGCCAAUGGCCAGGUGUCGUUCUGCGUCGUAGGGUUCGUUCUCUGGAGGGGGUAGCAAAUUGUCGGCAAAGGUAAAUAGGUUAUCACAAAAACCAAUCCAUAGCUGUGUUUUACCAGGUAACUUAUAAGUCAAGAAGAAUGGGGGGACUGGUUAAAAUAAAUUCACUCACCCUGCGCAAAUAACACCCCAAUCUCAUGAUGUAUCUCAGGAUCUCCUCUCUCCAGCUUCCCAAACCGCGCACUCCACGCAAUCAGCUCAUUCAUAUAUCUCUUCCUUGUAGGCUCUUCAGGGGGAAACUCGCGAAGCAGCUCAAUCAACCGCUCUAUCGUUGAAAUCCAAUCCGUCAGUAAAAAUAAAGAGACACCCCCAUAUGGACGAAGACCCUAUCCCAUCCCCAAAACCAAAAAAGCAAAUGGAAAAACACAUACUUUUCCUCGCCCUCCCCACCUCAUCCCCGCCAACGUCCCACUCCACCUUAUUAUACACAUCAAUAAUCAACAUGGUUGCCAAGUCCCCACCGGACGCAGACGCAGCAGGAACUCUCAGAAGAGCCUUUGCGCCGCCUGCUAGGAUAUCGGCGGCGGCAUCGUAGUUCUGCUGUUUGAGGUAACGGGCGGCGAUGACACGGAGUUGCUGGUGAGAUUCAUAGUAGGCGCCUGCGGCGAUUUUCUCUUGUUGGCGGGCUAUAGUUUUCUCGAUUCGGGAGGUCAUGGUCGCUUGCUUGAGGAAGGAUGGCGGUGCUUGGUGUCGGUGGUGGGAUGGUGGGGUUUGACGGGAGGUGAUAUGUAUUUAUGUAGGCACCUCUAAAUGAGUAGAAUGAAAGCAGUACUAUAGCAGAGCAUCCAUCAUUGGAGGAAAGGAAGUUGGUUCGGCGGGUAUUAGUCGGAUUAUCGAAUACUGA